GCAUAACGCGAAGAACCUUACCAACCCUUGACAUGUGUAUCGCGGUUCCAGAGAUGGUUCCUUCAGUUCGGCUGGAUACAACACAGGUGCUGCAUGGCUGUCGUCAGCUCGUGUCGUGAGAUGUUCGGUUAAGUCCGGCAACGAGCGCAACCCACACUUUCAGUUGCCAUCAUUCAGUUGGGCACUCUGGAAGAACUGCCGGUGAUAAGCCGGAGGAAGGUGUGGAUGACGUCAAGUCCUCAUGGCCCUUACGGGUUGGGCUACACACGUGCUACAAUGGUGGUGACAAUGGGUUAAUCCCAAAAAGCCAUCUCAGUUCGGAUUGGGGUCUGCAACUCGACCCCAUGAAGUCGGAAUCGCUAGUAAUCGCGUAACAGCAUGACGCGGUGAAUACGUUCCCGGGUCUUGUACACACCG
rnacentral:rRNA from 1 species